CAAUAGCGUAUAUUAAAGUUGUUGCAGUUAAAAAGCUCGUAGUUGGAUUUCUGGUCGGAAGCUCCUGUCCUCUGAUGAGCGUACAAGUGCGUCCUACCAUCCUUCUGUUAACCUUUAAGGCUUUCGCGGCUUUCUAGGGGCUCAGAUAUUUUACCUUGAGAAAAUUAGAGUGUUUCAGGCAGGCUAGCGCCGUAAUACAUUAGCAUGGAAUAAUGGAAUAGGACUUUUGCCUCUUCUGUUGGUCAUGAGGCUCGAGUAAUGAUUAAUAGGGAUAGUUGGGGGCAUUAGUACUUAACUGUCAGAGGUGAAAUUCUCGGAUUUGUUAAAGACUAACUUAUGCGAAAGCAUUUGCCAAGGAUGUUUUCAUUAA
rnacentral:rRNA from 1 species